rnacentral:rRNA from 1 species
UAGUCAUAUGCUUGUCUUAAAGAUUAAGCCAUGCAUGUCUAAGUAUAAGCACUUGUACUGUGAAACUGCGAAUGGCUCAUUAUAUCAGUUAUAAUUUAUUUGAUGGUCAUUUACUUGGAUAACCGUGGUAAAUCUAGAGCUAAUACAUGCACAAAAUCCUGACUGGGAACGGAAAGGAUGUAUUUAUUAGAUACAAAAACCAAUGCAUCAGGCUCUCGGGCUUGGUGGAAAACAUGGUGAUUCAUGAUAACUUUACGAAUCGUGUGGUCUCGUACCGACGAUAGUUCAUUCAAAUUUCUGCCCUAUCAACUUUCGAUGGUAGUAUAGAGGACUAUCAUGGUGGUAACGGGUAACGGAGAAUCAGGGUUUGAUUCCGGAGAAGGAGCCUGAGAAACGGCUACUACUUCCAAGGAAGGCAGCAGGCGCGCAAAUUACCCAAUCCCGACACGGGGAGGUAGUGACAAAAAAUAACAAUACCGGUCUUAUAUAAGUCUGGUAAUUGGAAUGAGUACAAUCUAAACCCCUUAACGAGUAUCAAUU